rnacentral:rRNA from 1 species
UGCGGCUGGAUCCCGUCCUUUCA